rnacentral:lncRNA from 1 species
GGAGCUUGAAGCAAAGCCUGAGAUUGCUAAAUCUUCAUGCUGCCCCUGUUCAGCCUGGGGGAAAGACUGCAUGUCCUCCUCUUCUGUGCAAAGGUUUUGUGUUCUUUGGGGUGUUCACCUCAUAAACCACCGGACAGUGUUGGCAGGGAGAGUCUUUCUGCAGAGCAGCAAAGGACUCGUGAUGGGAGAGACUGUUCUCCACACAACGUUGCUAAUCUUACCCGUACAUGGGAGAGGAGAAGAUGGGGCAAUCGAUACCUAUCUCAGCUGAACUUGUCUCUUGUGUGUGUGGAAGGCAUUGCCCCGGCUCAUCACGUGAGGCCUACGAUAAUGUCUCCUAUGCUGCACUGGCAUGAAACAAGACUUCAGACGGCAUCCCAGUGAAACAUGUCUCAAUGAGACCUUUCCAAACUCCGUCUAUUCCCCCAGCUCCGUGCCACUGGGAGGAUAAAGAGUAUGCUGUGAAACACAAGCUCAUUCUAAAAUGGUGAAAGGAGUUCCCUAUUUUGAGAGGGAAAUGAGGAAUGUAAAGCAAAAAUGUGGGGACAGACUAAACAGUGGUCCUAGUGAAACUGCAUGCAUAUCAUCUUUUGCAAGAAGUGUUAGUGUAGAAAACACACAGGGAACUGCUGUAGAACUUACAGUCGCUUUUUUUUUUAUUCCAAUAUAUACAAGGUAUUUUAAAGCACCCAUGGACCUCUUUGGAAAUUAGGCUAGCUGUGCUUUAGAGAGUACUGGUAUGCUAAAAACAAAUGAAAAGAGUUCCGAUGCUGCAGUGAGUAAAACAUGGGCAUACCUUGAAUAAAAACAUCCCUUUCCAAUUGAAUGGAAUAGAAACAGGGAACAAGAAAAUAGGGAAAAACAAAAUAAAUGCCUUCUACUAGAUGGCUCUUCCUUAGGAAGAACUAACUGAAGUUACGUUUUUUGCGUCGACGGUUUUUUCAUCAGGCAGUGGUUUCUGUUCAUGGACAAUGGAUACCAAGAACGAUGAAUACAGAAGAAAGCUGCCUUUUAUUCCAGGCCAGCAGGAUGAGCUUCUGGCAUUAUACUCUUCAGUUCACAGUGAAGAUGAAGCUGUCUGUGGCUUUUCUUGUCCGAGGUGCAGUGAGCCUAAUCCCAAGGAUGAACCCAACUGUGCAUCGAUAGAAGAUGACUCCUCACCUUUCCCCAUGAGAAUCUUGGAGCACCACCCCAGCGUUAUCAGCCUCGCAGAGGAUUAUGUGUGGCACAGCGGCGAUGUCAUGAACGAGAACAAACUUUUUGUCAGUAAUGAAGUGUUGGUCUUUAAUGAACUUUUGCAGCCAAAACAUAGGCAUCUGCUUGAGCCGGGUGAAAAAGAUCCAAGGUGGCAGCUUGAGUCGCACAAGGCAGACCUGAGGAGAGACCGCUAUAGCCUGGGCAGGGAGGAAGCAGAAGUUAAGUUAUCCGUCUCCUGGAGGAACAGAGCUACAGCCUGGCUGCUUGUGUUUCACAUUGCUAGAAGAUAAAAAAGAUGCAGGGUUAGGUUUAGCUCUGAGCCCUGGCUGGUGCAGGAGUCCAAGAGCACAGGAAAGCUCUUGGCAACAAAAGGUGCUUUGUGAAUGGAGCUCCAGAGGUGAUCCUGGGUGGUCUCCUGCCCUUUCGCGGGAGGGAUUAACAGCGUGAGUAUCGAGAGCUUGUUGAAAAGGGUUAAAGAACCCUGUGUAAGGGAAGGGGCAGGG